rnacentral:tRNA from 1 species
GACCCGUUAGCUCAGUCGGUAGAGCAACUCCCUUUUAAGGAGUGGGCCCUUGGUUCGAAUCCAAGACGGGUCACCA